GUAAAAGGAAUGGAAAUAAGAAGCUAUCCGAAUGAGCAAGUAAAGGUAGACAUACGUAAAAAGAAUGGAAAUAAGAAGCUAUCCGAAUGAACAAGUAAAGGUAGACAUACGUAAAAAGAAUGGAAAUAAGAAGCUAUCCGAAUGAGCAAGUAAAGGUAGACAUACGUAAAAAGAAUGGAAAUAAGAAGCUAUCCGAAUGAGCAAGUAAAGGUAGACAUACGUAAAAAGAAUGGAAAUAAGAAGCUAUCCGAAUGAACAAGUAAAGGUAGACAUACGUAAAAGAAUGGAAAUAAGAAGCUAUCCGAAUGAGCAAGUAAAGGUAGACAUACGUAAAAAGAAUGGAAAUAAGAAGCUAUCCGAAUGAGCAAGUAAAGGUAGACAUACGUAAAAAGAAUGGAAAUAAGAAGCUAUCCGAAUGAGCAAGUAAAGGUAGACAUACGUAAAAAGAAUGGAAAUAAGAAGCUAUCCGAAUGAGCAAGUAAAGGUAGACAUACGU